rnacentral:rRNA from 1 species
AGAGUUUGAUCAUGGCUCAGAUUGAACGCUGGCGGCAUGCCUUACACAUGCAAGUCGAACGGUAACGCGGGGGCAACCCUGGCGACGAGUGGCGAACGGGUGAGUAAUACAUCGGAACAUAUCCAGUAGCGGGGGAUAACCUAUCGAAAGAUGGACUAAUACCGCAUACGAUCUACGGAUGAAAGCAGGGGACCGCAAGGCCUUGCACUAUUGGAGUGGCCGAUGUCGGAUUAGCUAGUUGGUGAGGUAAAGGCUUACCAAGGCGACGAUCCGUAGCUGGUCUGAGAGGACGAUCAGCCACACUGGAACUGAGACACGGUCCAGACUCCUACGGGAGGCAGCAGUGGGGAAUUUUGGCCAAUGGGCGCAAGCCUGAUCCAGCCAUGCCGCGUGAGUGAAGAAGGCCUUCGGGUUGUAAAGCUCUUUCGGUGAAGACGAAACGGUUAGCGCUAAUGACGCUGACUAAUGACGGUACUCACAGAAGAAGCACCGGCUAACUACGUGCCAGCAGCCGGUAAUACGUAGGGUGCAGGCGUUAAUCGGAAUUACUGGGCGUAAAGCGUGCGCAGGCGGUUUGCUAAGACAGGUGUGAAAUCCCCGAGCUUAACUUGGGAAUUGCGCUUGUAACUGGCAAGCUAGAGUGUGGCAGAGGGGGGUGGAAUUCCACGUGUAGCAGUGAAAUGCGUAGAUAUGUGGAGGAACACCGAUGGCGAAGGCAGCCCCCUGGGUUAACACUGACGCUCAUGCACGAAAGCGUGGGGAGCAAACAGGAUUAGAUACCCUGGUAGUCCACGCCCUAAACUAUGUCAACUAGUUGUCGGGGAAGAAAUUCCUUGGUAACGAAGCUAACGCGUGAAGUUGACCGCCUGGGGAGUACGGCCGCAAGGUUAAAACUCAAAGGAAUUGACGGGGACCCGCACAAGCGGUGGAUUAUGUGGAUUAAUUCGAUGCAACGCGAAAAACCUUACCUACCCUUGACAUGCUAGGAAGCCCGCAGAGAUGUGGGUGUGCCCGAAAGGGAACCUAGACACAGGUGCUGCAUGGCUGUCGUCAGCUCGUGUCGUGAGAUGUUGGGUUAAGUCCCGCAACGAGCGCAACCCUUGCCAUUAGUUGCUACAUUCAGUUGGGCACUCUACUGGGACCGCCGGUGACAAACCGGAGGAAGGUGGGGAUGACGUCAAGUCCUCAUGGCCCUUAUGGGUAGGGCUUCACACGUAAUACAAUGGUCGGUACAGAGGGCUGCCAACCCGCAAGGGGGAGCUAAUCCCAGAAAGCCGAUCGUAGUCCGGAUUGUAGUCUGCAACUCGACUGCAUGAAGCCGGAAUCGCUAGUAAUCGCGGAUCAGCAUGUCGCGGUGAAUACGUUCCCGGGUCUUGUACACACCGCCCGUCACACCAUAGGAGUGGGUUCCACCAGAAGUAGUUAGCCUAACCGCAAGGAGGGCGAUUACCACGGUGAGAUUCAUGACUGGGGUGAAGUCGUAACAAGGUA